rnacentral:rRNA from 1 species
GACGAACGCUGGCGGCGUGCCUAACACAUGCAAGUCGGACGGGCUUGGGGGCAACUCCAAGUCAGUGGCGAACGGGUGCGUAACACGUGAGCAACUUGCCUUCAGGUGGGGGAUAGCCGGCCCAACGGCCGGGUAAUACCGCAUAUCGCCCCGGGGUCUCAUGACUCUGGGGUCAAAGCAGCCGCAAGGUUGCGCCGGGAGAGGAGCUCGCGGCCUAUCAGCUAGUUGGUGGGGAAUGGCUCACCAAGGCGACGACGGGUAGCUGGUCUGAGAGGAUGGCCAGCCACAUUGGGACUGAGAAACGGCCCAGACUCCUACGGGAGGCAGCAGUGGGGAAUAUUGCGCAAUGGCCGAAAGGCUGACGCAGCGACGCCGCGUGUGGGAUGAAGGCCU